UUUCUAUCUUCACAAUCUCUCCCACGACGUUGGCCCAGUUGGUUGAGUUUCUUUGGAGCUCCACUAUGACCUCACUCCCCAUGCUUCAGGUGAUAUUUUGCUCUUGGGUUCCGCUGGGACAAAUUUUUGUCUCGGUUUUAACUUAAAAUACUCGUUUAAUUUAAAACCUAGCACAAAUCAGAUCUCUGAUCAAUAGGCCACUAGAUUAACAUGCUCGAUAUUGCCAAAUUUAAUAACAAUGCUUUAAAUAAAAAUGUGGAUAUGAUAGC
rnacentral:lncRNA from 1 species